rnacentral:miRNA from 14 species
CCUGGCACUCACUUUGUAGACCAGGCUGGCCUUGAACUCACAGAGAUCUGCCUGCCUCUGCUUCCUGAGUGCUAGG